rnacentral:rRNA from 1 species
AGAGUUUGAUCAUGGCUCAGAACGAACGCUGGCGGCAGGCUUAAUACAUGCAAGUCGAGCGGUCUCUUUCGGGAGACAGCGGCGGACGGGUUAGUAACGCGUGGGAACGUGCCCUUUAGUACGGAAUAGCCAUUGGAAACGAUGAUUAAUACCGUAUACGCCCUAUGGGGGAAAGAUUUAUCGCUAAAGGAUCGGCCCGCGUUAGAUUAGGUUGUUGGUGGGGUAAUGGCCUACCAAGCCUACGAUCUAUAGCUGGUUUGAGAGGAUGAUCAGCCACAUUGGGACUGAGACACGGCCCAAACUCCUACGGGAGGCAGCAGUGGGGAAUCUUGCACAAUGGAGGAAACUCUGAUGCAGCGAUGCCGCGUGAGUGAAGAAGGCCUUUGGGUUGUAAAUCUCUUUCGUCGGGGAAGAAAAUGACUGUACCCGAAUAAGAAGGUCCGGCUAACUUCGUGCCAGCAGCCGCGGUAAUACGAAGGGACCUAGCGUAGUUCGGAAUUACUGGGCUUAAAGAGUUCGUAGGUGGUUGAAAAAGUUGGUGGUGAAAUCCCAGAGCUUAACUCUGGAACUGCCAUCAAAACUUUUCAGCUAGAGUUUGAUAGAGGAAAGCAGAAUUUCUAGUGUAGAGGUGAAAUUCGUAGAUAUUAGAAAGAAUACCAAUUGCGAAGGCAGCUUUCUGGAUCAAUACUGACACUGAGGAACGAAAGCAUGGGUAGCGAAGAGGAUUAGAUACCCUCGUAGUCCAUGCCGUAAACGAUGUGUGUUAGACGUUGGAAAUUUAUUUUCAGUGUCGCAGCGAAAGCGAUAAACACACCGCCUGGGGAGUACGACCGCAAGGUUAAAACUCAAAUGAAUUGACGGGGACCCGCACAAGUAGUGGAGCAUGUGGUUUAAUUCGAAGAUACGCGCAGAACCUUACCAACACUUGACAUGUUCGUCGCGACUUUAAGAGAUUAAAGUUUUCGGUUCGGCCGGACGAAACACAGGUGCUGCAUGGCUGUCGUCAGCUCGUGUCGUGAGAUGUUGGGUUAAGUCCCGCAACGAGCGCAACCCUCACUUUUAGUUGCCAUCAUUAAGUUGGGCACUCUGAAAGAACUGCCAGUGAUAAGCUGGAGGAAGGUGGGGAUGACGUCAAGUCCUCAUGGCCCUUACGUGUUGGGCUACACACGUGCUACAAUGGUAUCUACAACAGGAAGCAAAACGGCGACGUUAAGCAAAUCCUUAAAAGAUACCUCAGUUCGGAUUGCACUCUGCAACUCGAGUGCAUGAAGCUGGAAUUACUAGUAAUCGUGGAUCAGCGUGCCACGGUGAAUGCGUUCCCGGGUCUUGUACACACCGCCCGUCACACCAUGGGAGUUGGUUCUACCUUAAGGCAAGGUUUAAAACCCUUGACCACGGUAUAGUCAGCGACUGGGGUGAAGUCAUAACAAGGUAGCCGUA